UACGUAGGGUGCAAGCGUUAAUCGGAAUUACUGGGCGUAAAGCGUGCGCAGGCGGUUUUGUAAGUCUGAUGUGAAAUCCCCGGGCUCAACCUGGGAACUGCAUUUGUGACUGCAUGGCUGGAGUGCGGCAGAGGGGGAUGGAAUUCCGCGUGUAGCAGUGAAAUGCGUAGAUAUGCGGAGGAACACCGAUGGCGAAGGCAAUCCCCUGGGCCUGCACUGACGCUCAUGCACGAAAGCGUGGGGAGCAAACAGG
rnacentral:rRNA from 1 species